GUAGGUGAACCUGCGGAAGGAUCAUUAUAGAGUUUAGGGUCCCAUGUGGCCCAAACCUCCAACCCCCUUGGUGUCUACUGCCCUGUUGCUUCGGCAGGCCCGGUGGCGCCUGCCGGAGCCUAUGCGUAACAAUCUUGUCAUGAAUGUCGGUCUGAUCCUUCUAAGAACAAUAGAAUCAUUAAAAAAACUUUCAACAACGGAUCUCUUGGUUCCC
rnacentral:misc_RNA from 1 species